GUUGGUUAUUUAUAAUCCAGGAUGUGCGCCCCCACACCCCAGUCUUCAUAAGAGGGAGAAAUGACAGGCUGAGGCCUGCAGUGAGAGGCAGAUUCAUUGCUGGAGCUGUCAAUCACUGGGGGAUGAAGUACUGGUUUAUGGAAGGCACUUGUCUGAGGUAAAUUUUGAACACCAAGAUAUGCAAAUUUGAUUCCUCAAAAGGCAGUGAAUUUGGACUGGAAGCAGAAGAAGAGAAAGAAGAAAAACUGGAUGAACCAGCAGCUGGAUCCACGAUCCCAUCCUCCAGUCAUGCAAAGGUCUCUGGGUGAAGAUCUUCAGAUAAAGAUAGAAGAGAGGGAGACUUGGGAGAAUUACCUCAGUGGAGAAGAGAAGCAGAAGCAGCCAGAACUUCUACCACUGGACAGAACAGGAAGAGCCACAGUGGCAGCUGGUCAGGAGAGGCAGAGGGUGGCUGGGAGGAGAGGAUCCCAGGCCAGGAAAGGCCAUGUUCCUCCUGAUCAAGGCCCAGGAGGAGCAGCAAGAGGAAGGGCUUGGAGGGGAGGAGUCCCCCUGCUCUGGAAAAGCCACCUUUCAGCUGUGUCCUGAGAAGGUGCAAGCUCAGGGAGGCUGCGAGAGAAGCACCCUCCACGUUCUAUUGUGAAUGGCCCUGAAACUUACAUAUGGGAUGGUAUAAAUAUGUGGAAAGGAAGGAAGGAACGAAGGAAGGAAGGAAGGAAGGAAGGAAGGAAGGUUGGUUUUCUGUCCCAAAAGGGCUCACAGUCUAAAUAGUAACAUAAGAUAGACCAGCAACAAUCACUGGAGAGGAUGCUCUGCUGGAGUUGAAUAGAACCGGUUGCUCACCUCUGGUAAGUGUAAGAUAAGAAGAGCUUCAUCAAGUAAUGGCACACAUGGCCAUAAGAAGUGGGCAAGAGGAAUUCCAGACUUCCCAUUAGGAAAAGACUAUGGCAGAUGUUGAUGUUCAUUAUUCACACACAGGCACAGGCACAACUGGUGUAGGAGAACAUUUGCUCCAGGCUAUCAGUUCUUUUACAGAAAAACAGACCUCUUGGGAACUUGUCAGCUCACGUCAGAUGGCUUUAAGAUAAACACCAAAAUACCAAUCUCCCUAGUUUGCAGAUGUUGAGGAUGGGAGAUUAAUCUUGCAGAAGAAUAGUCAGGAAAUCACAGAUGUGAUAAAAUCUCUGGGGAAAAAGAAAUAGCUGAGUGUGGCUGGGGUUUAGGGUGAGUUCACAAUGACCACUGAACUGAGAUUCAAUUGCUGACUCAAAUAUUUUUCAUAUUUCAGAAUCCCACAUUACAGUAUGAUAUUGGAAGGCUCCCAACAUUCCAGUUACAAAUGAAUCUAUAGGUCUGACUCUUUAGUCACUGUUAUAGUAAAGAUCAGAGUUAAGUUUCUAAUGAGCAUGAAGUGACUGCUUAUUAAUCUCUUGACUCUUCCGGUUGUACAGGAAGCAUGGAAAUUUGGUGCAGUGACCUCUUGUACAUGCUUUGAUGCAUGUUGAGAUCAAGGCUUACUUGAGAAACUUUUGAUAGUGAGUUACUAUCUUUACUUUCUCCAACAUUAUCUCUUUGCACAAGGCUGUGCAAAGAGGCAUUCUUAAUGGGCUGCCCCCUCCUUUAGUUAUGGAAAUCCCUUUGCUUGGAGUCUCAGAACUCAGCAUCAAAAGCAUAGUAAGAUUUAUCUGUCUGGGUGUCUUCCAGUAGUUAGAGGGAAAGCAUCAAAGAGUGAGCAUUUAUAAUAGUAUUUUCAUCUGAUUGAAAUUUUAUUUUGUUUCAAUUAGAAGUUUAUGCUUUUAAAAGUUGUUACUUACCCUGAGCUCUUGGGAUGGAGUGGGCAAAUAACCAACAGAGCAAUUCGGUACUCAGCUUACAGGGAGGCCAGAACCAUACCUUUUGUGCCAACCCCCUUGGCUAGCUACCCUCUGCAAUUCUCAAGGGUAGAUAUUGGAAAAUCCCACUUACUGAGUGAAUAUGUCCAUGUGGUAUAGAGGAAAUUGAAACUAUGAUCUAUGUGCUUUUAUAUUGUCCAUUUAUUUUAUCAGGAUAUCCAUGCCACUUUUAUUGCCUCUCUUUUAUUGAACAUGCCAGGCAGGUCUGAAGAAUGUUAUACCUCUUUCCUUCUAGAGGAUCGAAACUCAUCAACAACCAUUACUGUGGCUAGAUUUUGUGCCGUAGCCUGCAAGGUCAGGCAAGAGCUGAUUCAAGAUCUCAACUAUAAUUAAUUUUCAAGGAUAAUAGCAUUUAUAUUUAGAUCAAAUAUUAUGAAGACCCUCUUUGGGUGGAAACGCAUCUGGCUUCAUUUAAUUUCAUGACUGGAAAUUGAUAUUGCCUUGACUUGGAACUCCAAGAACUUCCACCGAGCUUCUGGGGCUUGUUUCAUCCUCUCCAAUUUGUGAUUUGGACACUUAUUCCUGUGGAUUGGACUAUGACUUUUUAAGGUAUAGACACGUCACAGCAUCUCAAUAUCCUUUCCAAGGCCUUCAUUGCAACCCUACCAAGUGCUCGUCUGUGGCGUAUUUCUUGACUGCUGGAUCCUUUACUGUUGAUGGUCAAUCCUAAAAGGCAGAAGCUAUCCACCACUUCAGUGUCUUCAUUAUCUGAUCAUCGAACGCAGAUCAGAGCCCUAUGUGGAAAGGGAAAUGCUGGAUGUUCAAGCUGGUUUCAGAAAAGGCUGGGGAACAAGAGACAUCAUUGCUGAAGCACGCUGGAUAAUUGAGAAAGCCAAAGAAUUCCAAAAAGAAGUCAAUAUGUGCUUUAUUGACUACAGAAAAGCCUUUGAUUGCCUCUACCAUGUCAAGUUAUGGAAUAUCUUUAGGGAAAUGGGUGCCCCAGAACAUCUCAUUGUUCUCAUGAGAAACCUAUAUAUAGGACAGGAAACCACAGUCCUGACGGAACAUGGUGAAACAGACUGGUUCCAGAUCGUCAAAGGCUGUAUACUUUCUCCUUAGUUAUUCAGCUUAUGUGCUGAACAUAUACUGAGAAGCUGGAUUGGAAGAAGAUGAGCAUGGUUUUAAAGUUGGAGGAAGAAACAUCAAUAAUCUGCGCUACGUGGAUGACACUGCUCUGAUAGCUGAGAAUGCAGAUGAUCUGCAAGCUCUAGUAAUGAAAGUCAAGGAGCACAAUGAAAAAAUGGGACUACGACUAAAUGUCAAGAAGACUAAACUAUUGACAACAGGUAUAUCAACCAGCUUCAGAACUGAUAAUGAAACCAAUGUGUAUACUAUAUUAAAUGUAUCAAAAGAUGCUA